AAAUAUCCCACGGGAUAGCGAGAGGAUGGACUUAUGGCGCAUUAGCUAGUUGGUGAGGUAGAGGCUCACCAAGGCGACGAUGCGUAGCCGGCCUGAGAGGGCGGACGGCCACACUGGGACUGAGACACGGCCCAGACUCCUACGGGAGGCAGCAGUAGGGAAUUUUCGGCAAUGGGCGAAAGCCUGACCGAGCAACGCCGCGUGAGGGAGGAAGUAUUUCGGUAUGUAAACCUCUGUUAUAAAGGAAGAACGCUGGAUGUAGGGAAUGACAUGCAGGUGACGGUACUUUAUGAGAAAGCCACGGCUAACUACGUGCCAGCAGCCGCGGUAAUACGUAGGUGGCGAGCGUUAUCCGGAAUCAUUGGGCGUAAAGAGGGAGCAGGCGGCAAUAGAGGUCUGCGGUGAAAGCCUGAAGCUAAACUUCAGUAAGCCGUGGAAACCAAAUAGCUAGAGUGCAGUAGAGGAUCGUGGAAUUCCAUGUGUAGCGGUGAAAUGCGUAGAUAUAUGGAGGAACACCAGUGGCGAAGGCGACGAUCUGGGCUGCAACUGACGCUCAGUCCCGAAAGCGUGGGGAGCAAAUAGGAUUAGAUACCCUAGUAGUCCACGCCGUAAACGAUGAGUACUAAGUGUUGGGGGUCAGACCUCAGUGCUGCAGUUAACGCAAUAAGUACUCCGCCUGAGUAGUACGUUCGCAAGAAUGAAACUCAAAGGAAUUGACGGGGGCCCGCACAAGCGGUGGAGCAUGUGGUUUAAUUCGAAGCAACGCGAAGAACCUUACCAGGUCUUGACAUACCGACAAAGGCCCUAGAGAUAGGGAGAUAGCUAUGGCGGAUACAGGUGGUGCAUGGUUGUCGUCAGCUCGUGUCGUGAGAUGUUGGGUUAAGUCCCGCAACGAGCGCAACCCCCGUUGCCAGUUGCCAGCAUUCAGUUGGGGACUCUGGCGAGACUGCCUCUGCAAGGAGGAGGAAGGCGGGGAGGACGUCAAAUCAUCAUGCCCCCUAUGACCUGGGCUACACACGUGCUACAAUGGACGGAUCAGAGGGAAGCGAAGCUGCGAGGUGGAGCGAAACCCAGAAACCCGUUCUCAGUUCGGACUGCAGUCUGCAACUCGACUGCACGAAGUUGGAAUCGCUAGUAAUCGCGAAUCAGCAUGUCGCGGCGAAAAAGAUCUCGGGCCUUGUACUCUCCGCCC
rnacentral:rRNA from 1 species